UGGGGAAUUUUGGACAAUGGGGGGAAACCCUGAUCCAGCCAUCCCGCGUGUGCGAUGAAGGCCUUCGGGUUGUAAAGCACUUUUGGCAGGAAAGAAACGUCGUGGGUUAAUACCCCGCGAAACUGACGGUACCUGCAGAAUAAGCACCGGCUAACUACGUGCCAGCAGCCGCGGUAAUACGUAGGGUGCAAGCGUUAAUCGGAAUUACUGGGCGUAAAGCGUGCGCAGGCGGUUCGGAAAGAAAGAUGUGAAAUCCCAGAGCUUAACUUUGGAACUGCAUUUUUAACUACCGGGCUAGAGUGUGUCAGAGGGAGGUGGAAUUCCGCGUGUAGCAGUGAAAUGCGUAGNUAUGCGGAGGAACACCGAUGGCGAAGGCAGCCUCUGGGAUAACACUGACGCUCAUGCACGAAAGCGUGGGGAGCAAACAGGAUUAGAUACCCUGGUAGU
rnacentral:rRNA from 1 species